rnacentral:rRNA from 1 species
GAUGAACGCUGGCGGCGUGCCUAAUACAUGCAAGUCGAGCGAACGGACGAGAAGCUUGCUUCUCUGAUGUUAGCGGCGGACGGGUGAGUAACACGUGGAUAACCUACCUAUAAGACUGGGAUAACUUCGGGAAGCCGGAGCUAAUACCGGAUAAUAUUUUGAACCGCAUGGUUCAAAAGUGAAAGACGAUCUUGCUGUCACUUAUAGAUGGAUCCGCGCUGCAUUAGCUAGUUGGUAAGGUAACGGCUUACCAAGGCAACGAUGCAUAGCCGACCUGAGAGGGUGAUCGGCCACACUGGAACUGAGACACGGUCCAGACUCCUACGGGAGGCAGCAGUAGGGAAUCUUCCGCAAUGGGCGAAAGCCUGACGGAGCAACGCCGCGUGAGUGAUGAAGGUCUUCGGAUCGUAAAACUCUGUUAUUAGGGAAGAACAUAUGUGUAAGUAACUGUGCACAUCUUGACGGUACCUAAUCAGAAAGCCACGGCUAACUACGUG